rnacentral:rRNA from 1 species
AACGAACGCUGGCGGCAUGCCUAACACAUGCAAGUCGAACGAGACCUUCGGGUCUAGUGGCGCACGGGUGCGUAACGCGUGGGAAUCUGCCCUCUGGUUCGGAAUAACUCAGGGAAACUUGAGCUAAUACCGGAUGAUGGCUUCGGUCCAAAGAUUUAUCGCCUGAGGAUGAGCCCGCGUCGGAUUAGCUAGUUGGUGAGGUAAAGGCUCACCAAGGCGACGAUCCGUAGCUGGUCUGAGAGGAUGAUCAGCCACACUGGGACUGAGACACGGCCCAGACUCCUACGGGAGGCAGCAGUGGGGAAUAUUGGACAAUGGGCGAAAGCCUGAUCCAGCAAUGCCGCGUGAGUGAUGAAGGCCUUAGGGUUGUAAAGCUCUUUUACCCGGGAUGAUAAUGACAGUACCGGGAGAAUAAGCCCCGGCUAACUCCGUGCCAGCCGCCGCAGUAA